rnacentral:rRNA from 1 species
GAAUCUUGCGCAAUGGGCGACAGCCUGACGCAGCCAUGCCGCGUGACUGAUGACGGUCUUCGGAUUGUAACAUUCUUUCACCGGGUACGAUAAUCACGGUCCCCCGAGAAGAAGCCCUGCCUAACUUCGUGCCAGCAGCCGCGGUAAUACGAAGGGGGCUAGCGUUGCUCGGAAUUACUGGGCGUAAAGGGCGCGUAGGCGGACAUUUAAGUCAGGGGUGAAAUCCCAGAGCUCAACUCUGGAACUGCCUUUGAUACUGGGUGUCUUGAGUGUGAGAGAGGUAUGUGGAACUCCGAGUGUAGAGGUGAAAUUCGUAGAUAUUCGGAAGAACACCAGUGGCGAAGGCGACAUACUGGCUCAUUACUGACGCUGAGGCGCGAAAGCGUGGGGAGCAAACA